AGGGGUGAAAGGCCAAACAAACCCGGUGAUAGCUGGUUCUCCGCGAAAAUGCAUUUAGGUGCAGCGUUGCAUGUUCAUCCAUGGAGGUAGAGCACUGGAUGGGCUAGGGGGCCCACAAGCUUACCGAACCCAACCAAACUCCGAAUGCCAUGGAUCCAGAGUGCAGCAGUGAGACCCCGGGGGAUGAGCUUCGGGGUCGAGAGGGAAACAGCCCAGACCGUCGGCUAAGGUCCCAAAAUUCAGACUAAGUGGUAAACGAUGUGAGAUUGCAUAGACAGCCAGGAGGUUGGCUUAGAAGCAGCCAACCCUUAAAAGAGUGCGUAAUAGCUCACUGGUCGAGUGAUCUUGCGCGGAUAAUGUAACGGGGCUUAAGUCUGAUACCGAAGCCACGGGUGCGUCUUUGACGCGCGGUAGCGGAGCGUCGAUCUCGCAGUGAAGCAGUCGGGUAACCUACUGUGGAGCGUGGUCGAGUGAGAAUG
rnacentral:rRNA from 1 species